UAAAAACACCAUUAGUUAUCAGCUUACAAGAGUGCCAUGGAGCCAAUACAAUAAAGAUAUCAGAUGAAUCUUUCAUAUCUCCUAUCUUUCAUAUCUCCACCAGAUGAUCAAAUCAAUAUAACGCCAAUACACACCAAUUAUAAUAUUAUAUACAUGAGCUCAAAAUGAAUUCUAAAUGAACAAAUACUAUGCAUGGUUCCCAAAAAACGAAGUGUCCAUAGAAAUUAGUCAUAGACAAGCAAGCAAGUCUUUUAAUCCAAUUAAAUGGUGCAAGGCGCAAAUUUUAGAAUAGAAUUACAGCAACCUCAGAAAAGCAUGGCGUUGCUCAAGCCAGAUGUCUCUUAAAGGAAUCCAUACCAUAUAGGAAACGAACUAUUUUUUCAUCAUUUACGUAAGUAAUGCAAACAGCAACUUAUAAACUAUAUCAAUUUCUGGGGCAAAUUCCACUGAACAUGGAAACAUUUUAACAUGGCAACAUCGAGCACAAGCUAACAAUCCAAGAAACACAAAGAAUUUAAUCAUUCACAAGAAAGGAUAACUUACUAUCAAGAUAGCUAGCAA
rnacentral:misc_RNA from 1 species